GCAUGUAUGGGUACCAACUUUUCAAACCCAAAAAAUUACGGGUAAAACAGGUGGGUACCCAUUAAGCUGUGGGCAUUUUGGGUAACCUGCGGGUACCCACGAAUACCCACACAUAUAUUUUUUAAUUAAAAAAUAUAUAUUUUAAUUAAAAUACAUAUAUUUUUAUUUAUCCAUCCUAAAAAUUCUAAUCCUAAUUUCUUAUCGCGUCUUUUAUAUUACGAAUUUUUUUU
rnacentral:lncRNA from 1 species